AUUUCCAGAAUUGAGUAGAGAUAGGCUUCAUCUUCAUCUCCUUCCUCCUACUUCAUGUCAAAAAUUCAAAUCCACCUACAAGCUUCGUUUCUCGUCCGAUUCGCGUGAUUCUUGCGGCAACGGAACGAGAGAGAGAUUCUCUACUGAUCUAACUCAUCAAUUUAAGCUUGUAGAUUCUUCGUUUGAUAUCGGAAUUGGGCGAUUUUUGCGUCGUUGGAACGAGGGAAGGAUUUCCUACUGAUCUAGACUAACAUCUGAAGACUUGACGAGGCAACUACCAAUGGAACCCGGAACUUACAAAACGCGACAUCGCUAAACUAUUAUCGAAGGUUAUGGAUAGCAAGCGUGUGUUUUUCAGGUACCUAGAUUCUAGACGUCGCUAGAAGUUCGUCUUUAACCGGAAGUUCCUUUGGCUAUGUACAGCCCCGACUUCCGUAGAUGCUGCAGUAGUAUGAUGUCUGACCAGUGUCGUGGCCUAUUACAGCAGUGAAAUUUUAUAUGGUUUAUAGUUAAUGUCUGUUGUGUAUAUGAGGUCUGGCUACAAUAGUUAUCACGGAGGUAAAUUUCCGUGAUGUAAUUUUGACAUAGUGGUUUAUGCCGGGCUAAUACGUUCAUGAUACGGAAACGAUAAGUCCGAGCACGUUGUAUGGUUUUACCACUGUAUAUAAAUGUAUUUUUGUUUAAA